CCUGCCAUGGGCAGGGACACCUUGGAGCCCAGGUUGCUCCAAGCCCCGUCCAAGCUGACCUUGAACCCUUCCUGGGAUUGGGCAGCCACAGCUUCUCUGGGC